rnacentral:rRNA from 1 species
UACAGGGGGGGCAAGCGUUGUUCGGAAUUACUGGGCGUAAAGGGCUCGUAGGCGGCCAACUAAGUCACACGUGAAAUCCCCAGGCUCAACCUGGGAACUGCGUGUGAUACUGGAUGGCUUGAAUUCGGGAGAGGGAUGCAGAAUUCCAGGUGUAGCGGUGAAAUGCGUAGAUAUCUGGAGGAACACCGGUGGCGAAGGCGGCAUCCUGGACCGGUAUUGACGCUGAGGCGCGAAAGCCAGGGGAGCAAACGGG